rnacentral:snoRNA from 1 species
GCAUGGUAAUGGAUUUAUGGCAGGUCUUCCUCUGUGGGCCUCUCAUAGUGUACCCAUGCCAGAGAAAACAGCCUCGAACCAUUGCCCAGUCUCUACCUGUGGGCUGUGAGCACUGAAAGCGGCUGUACAGUG